rnacentral:rRNA from 1 species
GAUGAACGCUAGCGGCAGGCUUAACACAUGCAAGUCGAGGGGUAGAGGAAGCUUGCUUCCUUGAGACCGGCGCACGGGUGCGUAACGCGUAUGCAACCUACCUUUUACAGAGGGAUAGCCCAGAGAAAUUUGGAUUAAUACCUCAUGGUAUAUAUCAUUCGCAUGUUUGAUAUAUUAAAGUUCCAACGGUAAAAGAUGGGCAUGCGUCCUAUUAGCUAGAUGGUAAGGUAACGGCUUACCAUGGCAACGAUAGGUAGGGGUCCUGAGAGGGAGAUCCCCCACACUGGUACUGAGACACGGACCAGACUCCUACGGGAGGCAGCAGUGAGGAAUAUUGGACAAUGGGCGCAAGCCUGAUCCAGCCAUGCCGCGUGCAGGAAGAAGCAUCUAUGGUGUGUAAACUGCUCUUGUACGGGAAGAAACACUCCUUCGUGAAGGAGCUUGACGGUACCGUAAGAAUAAGGAUCGGCUAACUCCGUGCCAGCAGCCGCGGUAACAC